GAAGAAAGGGAAGAGCGCCCGGAGACCUCGGUCAUUGCUAGGGGAAACUGGCCUGGAAGAAUCACUCGGAACGCAGAGGCCCCGCGAAAUGGGUACACAUACUGGCAGCAGCCCUCUCUUUCGAGGCACACGGGGUAACUUGGCUGGGACUCCCUGAUGAUUGCCCAGCCUGGGACUCUGCUGCAGCAGCCCUAAGCCUCCUCAGAGUGGUGCGUGCAGCAGGGGACCCAGGUGUGGCCGCGCCCCGGGCGGAGAGCACCAGGUGGAUGAACCUCGCAAACGUCUUGAUGAGUGAGAGCAACCAGAAAUGAACCACUGCUAACCAUAUGUGUCCAUUAAUACAAGGUUCAGAGCAGUCUGCUUUACAGGACCCUCUGGAGGAGAAAGGCGACCUACUUGAAACACAGGAAACUGGUCCUUCUCAGCAUGCAAUUUAUUUUUGUCUUAAGAACACUGUGAACCAGAUUGACUUCCAGUGAUGUACUAGAACGUUUGCAUCUGCUAAGUAUCAUGGAAUGUUGUGAACCCCUUCUUGAACAGUUGACAACUUGAAAUUAGCCACAGCUGGAGUAUUUACACCAUCCAUAUAGACAAUCACCAUAAAAUAGAUCUUGAAUUUUUUCUCCCAGGGAGUUACUGUACUAGCAUACCACUGUUUAUAUCCUUUUGGGAAAGGUUAAAGCCAAAAUAAAUGUUUUUAAAAAUUAUUAUGAAUAACGUACUUAGUUAAAUAUUGUCUAUUAUUUAGAA